AACGAACGCUGGCGGCAUGCCUAACACAUGCAGGUCGAACGAGACCUUCGGGUCUAGUGGCGCACGGGUGCGUAACGCGUGGGAAUCUGCCCUUGGGUUCGGAAUAACAGUUAGAAAUGACUGCUAAUACCGGAUGAUGACUUCGGUCCAAAGAUUUAUCGCCCAAGGAUGAGCCCGCGUAGGAUUAGCUAGUUGGUAGGGUAGAGGCCUACCAAGGCGACGAUCCUUAGCUGGUCUGAGAGGAUGAUCAGCCACACUGGGACUGAGACACGGCCCAGACUCCUACGGGAGGCAGCAGUGGGGAAUAUUGGACAAUGGGCGAAAGCCUGAUCCAGCAAUGCCGCGUGAGUGAUGAAGGCCCUAGGGUUGUAAAGCUCUUUUACCCGGGAUGAUAAUGACAGUACCGGGAGAAUAAGCCCCGGCUAACUCCGUGCCGGCAGCCGCCGUAAAAC
rnacentral:rRNA from 1 species